AGGUUGUCGGUUGAAAAGAAGCGGCCGGUGACUCAACAUGUGGUUGGUAUCGGAGGAGGCACGUGGUAGUCUGCAGCCCUCCCCGGAUCGGCAGAGGCGGUGGAGCAGCGACCGAGCAGCGACAGCUGAAGAGCUUGGCCUUGUGUCAGAAAGUGAGACUGCCUCAUCAAACACCACUGAAGAAAAUGAAGACAAUUUCUUCAUCUUCGCUGACCAGGUUGGGCAGAGAGAUGUUGCCCAGCCACAGCAAAGAGUGAAAGGUUGGACACCCUUCACUCUCUGGAGGACCCCAGAAAGGACCUUUCCUCGCUAGAUUCAUAUCCACUGAUCAAGCUACUCUUUGUGAGAUUCAACACCACUUUGCCAUCAUCGGUACCAGUUGGGUGUCUCUUCUCCUUUGCAGGGUCGCAAGGAUGCUGGAGCCUAUCCCAGCAGUCAUUGGGCAACAGGCAGGGAGACACCCUGGACAGGCCGCCAAGUCAUCACAGGGCCGACACACACACACACACACACACACACACACACACACACACACACAC